rnacentral:rRNA from 1 species
AUUGAACGCUGGCGGCAUGCUUUACACAUGCAAGUCGAACGGCAGCGCGGGCUUCGGCCUGGCGGCGAGUGGCGAACGGGUGAGUAAUACAUCGGAACGUGCCCAGUAGUGGGGGAUAGCUCGGCGAAAGCCGGAUUAAUACCGCAUACGACCUGAGGGUGAAAGCGGGGGAUCUUCGGACCUCGCGCUAUUGGAGCGGCCGAUGGCAGAUUAGCUAGUUGGUGGGGUAAAGGCCUACCAAGGCGACGAUCUGUAGCUGGUCUGAGAGGACGACCAGCCACACUGGACCUGAGACACGGCCAGACUCCUACGGGAGGCAGCAGUGGGGAAUUUUGGACAAUGGGCGAAAGCCUGAUCCAGCAAUGCCGCGUGUGUGAUGAAGGCCUUCGGGUUGUAAAGCACUUUUGGCGGGAACGAAAAGGACUGUGCCAAUACCACGGUUCGAUGACGGUACCCGCAGAAUAAGCACCGGCUAACUACGUG